ACAGAGCACUACAAAACUCAGUGGCUUAAAACAAUAAUCAUUUAUUAUGUUAUCUUUGAGGCCAGGCAUGGUGGCUUAUGCCUGUAAUCCUAGCACUUUGGGAGGCUGAGGUGGGAGGAUCCUUCAAAGCCAGGAGUUCAAGACCAGCCUGGGUAAGGGUAACAAAGCGAGAUGCCAGCUCUACAAAAAAGAAAACAAGAAUUUGAGAGCACCUUGCAGAUUUCAUCGGGAAGUUGAGUCCAUAUCCUCUCCCCAUGAAUGUGGGCAAUUUGUGGCUGUUUCAACGAACAGACUACAGAAUAAGUGAUGCUGUGUGACUUCUAUGGUUGUGUCAUGAAAAGCUAUUCAGUUUCUGCCUAAGUCUCUUGGAACAUGCUUGCUCUUGGGAUACUUCCUGUUAGAACCCAGCCACCAGCUUGUGAACCCAAGCCACUUGAAGAGGCCAUCUUUAGGUGCUCGGGUCAACAAUCCCAACUAAGCCCAGCUUUUGAGUCAUCCUAGCCCAGAUGCUACACAUGUGAAUGAAGGAGACUCCAGAUGAUUCCGGUCAUUUGAGUCCUUCCAGCUGAUACCCUGCUGUGCCCAGUCCAAAUUCCUGUUGCAUAGAAUCUAUG
rnacentral:lncRNA from 1 species